UCUGCGCCUGGGCCAGCAGGGCCGACCGGCCUGCGGGGUCGGUCGUGGCGUUCAAUUCGUCCAGCAGGGC
rnacentral:tRNA from 1 species